rnacentral:rRNA from 1 species
UACGUAGGGUGCAAGCGUUGUCCGGAAUUAUUGGGCGUAAAGAGCUCGUAGGCGGUCUGUCGCGUCUGCUGUGAAAACUCAGGGCUUAACCCUGAGCUUGCAGUGGGUACGGGCAGACUAGAGUGCGGUAGGGGAGACUGGAAUUCCUGGUGUAGCGGUGAAAUGCGCAGAUAUCAGGAGGAACACCGGUGGCGAAGGCGGGUCUCUGGGCCGUAACUGACGCUGGAGGAGCGGAAAAGCAUGGGGAGCAACAGG